rnacentral:tRNA from 2 species
GCCCCUGUAGCUCAGUGGAUAGAGCAUCUGUUUCCUAAACAGAGGGCCACAAGUUCGAUUCUUGUCAGGGGCA